rnacentral:lncRNA from 1 species
AGGAGGAAGAAUUGGCCUGACCCUGACCCUAAUUACUCCUAGGCAUUCUUGCUUUGGCUUUUGGUAUUGCUCUAAGAGGCUCUUUUGGUAUGAGUCUGUUAUUUCCCUUUUUUGCUUUUUAAAGGAAACAGUGGGAGAAUAUUUUAUACAGUGAUGGAAUAAGAAUGACAACUUUUGUUGGGAAAGGUGUCAAAGAAAACUCCGAGAGAAGAGGAUGCUGGAGCUGGAUCUUAAAGGGGCUCUGGUCCAUGUUCAUCAUUAGCAUCAAAUGUCACCUCUGUGUUUGGUGAACAGCUGCCCUGUUUGGUUUAAGGCUAAGACCUAGUCUGGCAAAGAAGAUGGAGCUGCUCAUUUCUGAAGAGAUGAACCUGUGGAAGUCUGCCAGAGCAACAGGCAUCAGAAUGAAGGCCAGCAAUAUGCAUACCCUGUGAGAUGGCCCCCAAGGGGUGCAGGUGCUUAUGUUUUAUAUGGAUAUUCAAGCAAAUUAUCUCAGGAGAGAUCUUUUGCCCUUGCCCGCUGGUGUUGAAACUCCUCGCGCACCUCAAGAUUGGUACCGUGUUUGCUCUCUAUUGCCACCUAAUGGUGGCUAGUGGCAGCAACAAGGUAAAAGUUGUUUUCCCCUUCCGUCUGCUCUUAACCAAAUUCCUUCAGGCUGGAUUAAUUUUGAAAGUCUCUUUUAAAGACUACAGAAUGAUGUGGAAUAACUAUCUAUUUUUCUGA